GCUUCCUUCCGCAUGACCUUGUCACGGGCGGGAUUCCUCACGCUGGCCCCGGGCAGCAGAGAGUCGGAUACAGCUGAGCAACUAAACACAAGCACGUAAAUAACUCAAUAUUUGCCAAGGAAGCCGUCGAUGGAAACCAGUAGACCCUGCAUUGAUGUGCCGGGUGUUCUGAGACCACAGUCAAUAGAAAUUAAUUAAGUGCUACAAUAUCUAUGAUUAAAUACGUCUCUAGGGAGAACUAGAAAAGUCACGAAAAAAGGAAAUGGAAGAAAGAGGAAGCAAAUUCUAAGAAGCAGUGGCAGAAACAAUAACAGACGAAGUUGUAAAUAGUAGCUGAGAACAACAAAAAACUAAGUUGUACGCACAGCCCAUCGAGGCGUGGGAAGGAGAGCCCUGGGUCCCUUAAGAUUCUUCACAUUCAUGUAUCAUCUGGUCAGCAUUUGUC
rnacentral:lncRNA from 1 species